GUUGGUUUCGUUACAGGAUUUUCAAGUGUCUAGACCAUGCGCUUAGAUCACCUUUACCCUCCUGUCUAUGGUCUAUUCUCUUUAUUUGUCUAUCCCCUAGUCCCCUUCCUCUUUAUCCAUACCUAUAUCUGUAUCCAUUCUAGGCGCGGUAUAUGAGAGGAAACAUUUGAUAUUUGUCUUUCUGUGUCUGGCCUACUUUAUUCUGUGCUUCAGCACUCUGGGAUCUCAACACACUCAUCAGAGGGUCUUGGUGUAUCUCUCAAAACUUGUUGCUGACACUGGACACCUAUGUUAAUACAGCUUGUGCCCCCCCCCUUCCUCAUUGACCCUAGCUCAUUGAUUUUCCUGGGUCUUGAUUCUGCAGAAUCAGGAUCACACUGGACUGCUCUCCCGGGUGCCUUGCAGGAGUUCAGCACUGACCUAGCUCAUGUUUAAAUAUGUCUGUCUAUUAACCUCCCUCUGGUAACUUCUUUCUCCCCCUCCAGAAGUCUUGCCCACCUGGUCACCGGCAUCAGACCCCCUGGCCGCACUUGUUCUGGCUCUCUGCCAGGCACACUCUCCAGCCAGGUGCCUGGCCCUCAGCAGACGAAGCUUUGGAAACUCCUAGGGUUGUCCCUCCGACGAGCCUGCAGCCAGUCCAGGGACCCGGGACUCGCUCUGCACAGACAGGAAAUUGGGACUGAGCCUACCCCACAGAAGACAAAGGAAGACACACACCUCCUCCUACAUUUUCCUGCUUGAAGAGGUCAGAUUUCCAGUUUUCCCAGUGGCUCUUGGGUGGUUUCAACUGGACUGGCCCCAGUAGGCCUGUUGGAAGUGUCUGCCACUUGGUUAAUUGCCCCACCAGAAGGGCAUGAGGACAGAAGGUCAGAGCUCCUAGCCUGGUUCCUUGCCU
rnacentral:lncRNA from 1 species